rnacentral:rRNA from 1 species
UACGUAGGGUGCAAGCGUUGUCCGUAAUUAUUGGGCGUAAAGAGCUCGUAGGCGGUCUGUCGCGUCGGCUGUGAAAACCCGGAGCUCAACUCCGGGCCUGCAGUCGAUACGGGCAAACUGGAGUGUUGCAGGGGAGACUGGAAUUCCUGGUGUAGCGGUGAAAUGCGCAGAUAUCAGGAGGAACACCGGUGGCGAAGGCGGGUCUCUGGGCAACAACUGACGCUGAGGAGCGAAAGCGUGGGGAGCGAACAGG